GAACAUAAGAAAAAUAAACCAGAAAACAAUGCAAUUGGUUACUUCCAGGAGGGAGGGGAGUGAGGAACCUGGGGGAAGGGACAGGGCAAGUGACACCUCUAUGAGUAAACCAUGCUAUCGAGUUUCGACUGUUAGAAAGUGGGCCAAUGGUCUACAUAUUAAAAAUAAUAAUAAAAUUAACAAGAAAUUAAACAAAAACUGAAUGCAAAUGGAAAUAGAUGAACCCAACUGUAUUUCAAAUGAAUAAACUAAUAGCCCUGGAGACAGAGAAGGAAUCAAAGUGACUGUGGAACACUGACUAUAUAGUGCCAGUAGGGAAAACAAAAGACCGACCAAGAUUGUGUUCUUUUUAGUAGAUUUGUUUUGCAUGGAGGUAUAGGGACAGUGAAUCUCAAACUACUUUACAUGUGUUGGAGGAUUGAAAAAAUGAGUAAAUGUGUCCAUAGUUUGGGAGUUUUCACUGUGGCAGGGGAGUAUGGAAUUAAGAAAAGCAAGAAAGAACUCCAUGGCGCUGGACUGGAAUUGAAGGCAUUUGUAUGAACUCAUAAUUUUAAGAACACAUAGACACAAACACACAUGACUCAGCUUUGUCCUUUCAAAGAGAUUACAAGCAAAGACUCCCACUAUCACCAUUCCUCAUUAAAAGGAAGCAGGGCUCCUGGAAUAAGUGACUGAUUCCAAGGCUAGGGAAAUAGGGCAAGGAUGACAAGUACAAUGGCCAUGAUUUAACUUGUGACGGCACAAAGGAGGGCCUGCCAACCAGUAGUUUUUCAGAGGAGGUCUCGAAACCGCAGAUGACAAAAAAAGCACUGGGCUGUCUUCAAACACUGAAAUAAUUAGCCUCACCAUUGUAUCCAAUUUUAUCGUUCUGAAUGACUCUUGAAAAUAGAUGACAUCUGACUCAUGACGAUCCUGGGGCUUCCCUGGUGGCUCAGUGGUGGAGAAUACAGCUGCCGCUGCAGGAGACAGCCACUGGAUUCCUGGUCUAAGCAGAUCCCGCACGCUGCAGAAACACCAGGCCUGCGUGCCACAACGACUGAGGCUGCUCUAAAGCCGGGAGCUGCGACUACUGAGCGCGCUGCCGCAGCUACCGGAGCCCACACCAUGAGAAGCUCCAACUACAGAGCGGCUCUUGCUUGCUGCAACUAGAGAAAAGCCCACGUAGCAAUGAGGACCUGGCACAGCCAAAAAGAACUGAGUGAUAAAAAAGACAAGACACUGAAACCCAUGCCGGAAACAGCUGCCAAACCCAGUUCUGAGGAGCUGUUACCCAGGUGACGGGACUGUCAGCGGAGCUCUGACCCAGCCCACAGGGAAUGGUUCUUACGAGGUCUGUGCGGGCUCAAGUGGUGACUGUGCUCCAUACUGGAUCGAGAUGUCACAGUUCCUGAGGUGGGGCACUUUGCCCAGCGGAGACAAUGCAAACUUAUUAUUCUGCCUCCAGGGAAAUCUAUGCUGGAAUGGCUGAGAUCUCGGACUUCACUAACUGGAAUGAAAAGAGCAACGUUACAGCAUCCAGGUUAGCGUGUUCCGGCCCCCUCAGACUGGAGAGGAGUCGUUUGAAUGUGGGAAACUUCUGCGCGACAGUACUGAAGUCAAGAUGCCUCUUCCCCAGUUAAGGAGAGCUGCAAGCUACCCACUGCUAAGUCCAAGGCUGCCCUUUCUUCUUGCUCUCUGCAAAUGUCACAGAAAAGACGGAACUUACAAGACUUAGCUUUAGUCUUAUUUUGAUGGGAGAAAUUACAUGCGUGGGGGAAUUUCUAAUCAUUACUGGGCUGGGUUUGCGAGGCUGGGAGACAGUUUAAAUAAUUCACUAGAUACUGGCAUGUGUGUUCUGGCAUAAGAAGGCUCCAAAAAAGUAUUUGAGGUGAAGGGUGUUCAGAAACAGCAACAACGUAUAUGCUGUGUUCUCAACAUUCGGUCACAGGGUAUAAAGUGCUAAAUAAAGGGCGAGUGAAAUCAUCUGUGUUAAGAAAUUUUUUUUUUUAGAUGUGAAACUUCACUUAGUUGGAAUUUAUGUUUUGAAUCAGGGGUUGGCAAACUUUUUCUUACAGGGCGGGUGAGUAAUCAUUUCAGGCUGGUGGGCCAUAC